rnacentral:tRNA from 1 species
GGGGGCAUAGCUCAGUGGUAGAGCGCGUGCUUAGCAUGCACGAGGUCCUGGGUUCGAUCCCCAGUGCCUCCA